UGUCCCUCGUUUUCUUCCACCAAAUCUCUUCCCGUUCAUUGAGUUUCAAUUUUUCGGUCUGAUUUUAUCUGGGUUGUUCUCCUUAUAGGCUGAGGUUGCUGUUUUAUUUUUCUUGAUCGAGUUAUAAAAAAAAAAAAGGAGAUGUUUUUGGUUGAUUGGUUUUAUGGGGUUCUAGCAUCACUUGGUCUUUGACAAAAGGAAGCUAAAAUCUUGUUUUUGGGGCUUGAUAAUGCUGGAAAGACCACCUUGCUUCACAUGUUAAAGGAUGAGAGAUUAGUUCAGCAUCAACCAACGCAAUACCCAACUUCAGAAGAAUUGAGUAUUGGGCAAAUCAAGUUCAAAGCUUUUGAUUUGGGUGGUCAUCAGAUCGCUCACAGAGUGUGGAAGGACUAUUACGCUAAGGUAUAUAAUCAAACUCUAUGAGGUUGAUCAAUGGUGGUGGUGGUGACACUUGUGGGUUUUACUUAUAAAAUUCUAACUCUAGUUUUGCUGUUUUUUUUUUUUUUUUUUUCAAUUUUAGGAAAACGAAGAGAGAGAGGCACAUUGGUCCGAUGGUCGAACCACAUGGUCUGAUGGGGUCCGACCCGAUGGUCGGACACAUGGUCCGACCAUCGGACCAUGUGCAUUUUUUUUUUGUUCGGUCCGAGAGAGAGAGACAAAGUAGAUAGAGGAGGUAUUUUUG